ACGGGAGGCAGCAGUGAGGAAUAUUGGUCAAUGGGCGGAAGCCUGAACCAGCCAAGUCGCGUGAAGGAUGAAGGUAUUAUGUAUUGUAAACUUCUUUAGCAGUGGAGUAAUAAGGGGAUCGCGAUCCCUGAUGCAAGUACACUGAGAAUAAGGAUCGGCUAACUCCGUGCCAGCAGCCGCGGUAAUACGGAGGAUCCGAGCGUUAUCCGGAUUUAUUGGGUUUAAAGGGUGCGCAGGCGGCUUUUUAAGUCAGUGGUUAAAUCGUGACGCUCAACGUCAUCACGCCAUUGAUACUGGAGAGCUUGAUUGCGGUCGAGGUUUGCGGAAUUCGUUGUGUAGCGGUGAAAUGCAUAGAUAUCACGAAGAACUCCGAUUGCGAAGGCAGCUGGCGGUACCGUUACCGACGCUCAUGCUCGAAAGUGUGGGUAUCGAACAGGAUUAGAUACCCUGGUA
rnacentral:rRNA from 1 species